CAAGUCGAACGGCACCCCUCUCCGGAGGGAAGCGAGUGGCGAACGGCUGAGUAACACGUGGAGAACCUGCCCCUCCCCCGGGAUAGCCGCCCGAAAGGACGGGUAAUACCGGAUACCCCCGGGCGCCGCAUGGCGCCCGGGCUAAAGCCCCGACGGGAGGGGAUGGCUCCGCGGCCCAUCAGGUAGACGGCGGGGUGACGGCCCACCGUGCCGACAACGGGUAGCCGGGUUGAGAGACCGACCGGCCAGAUUGGGACUGAGACACGGCCCAGACUCCUACGGGAGGCAGCAUG
rnacentral:rRNA from 1 species